CAGAUAGUGGAUGAUUCACACUCAACUGCAAAGCAAUGAAAGAACACAUCUGUCACUAAAUUGAACCCAGUCACCUUGGAUUAUGCCCAAAAGUGUGAGAAUUACAAGAAACUCACCAGAACUGUGAUGGACUCCAUUUCCACCUUAGAAAAAAUGACAACAUGCUCCGUCACAGGGAAAAAAGGGACCACUGGUGAACAAAGACAGAGUCCUGACAGAGAAAGUGAAGCUAGUAAUAGGGAGCCUGCUGGAAGAGAAUCUGAGGACUGAUGCACAUAUAACAAUGGACAUGCAUAAAGACACAUCUCUAACAAUGGACAUGCAUAAAGACACAUCUCUCUCUCUCUCUCUCUCUCUCUCUCUCUCUCACAUACACACACACUCAGAUAUACAGUUGUUGUUGUAUGGACAGCAUUUUAUUGAUACUUGUUUUUUUAUGAAUAUGUUUGGAUACUUCUUAUAAUUUUCUGUAUGUUUGCAAAUAAAUUCUCCAUUUGAAUCAGUUUUUCCUUACAGUAAAAUGUG